UACGGAGGGUGCAAGCGUUAAUCGGAAUUACUGGGCGUAAAGCGUGCGCAGGCGGUUUGUUAAGUCCGUUGUGAAAGCCCCGAGCUCAACUUGGGAAUUGCAGUGGAUACUGGCAGGCUGGAGUACGGUAGAGGAAGGUGGAAUUCCCGGUGUAGCAGUGAAAUGCGUAGAGAUGUGGAGGAACACCGAUGGCGAAGGCAGCCCCCUGGGUCAAGACUGACGCUCAUGCACGAAAGCGUGGGGAGCAAACAGG
rnacentral:rRNA from 1 species